rnacentral:rRNA from 1 species
UCUGUGAUGCCCUUAGAUGUUCUGGGCCGCACGCGCGCUACACUGAUCAAGUCAACGAGUUUACAACCUUGGCCGGAAGGUCUGGGUAAUCUUUUGAAACUUGAUCGUGCUGGGGAUAGUCCAUUGCAAUUAUUGGACUUCAACGAGGAAUUCCUAGUAAGCGUGAGUCAUCAGCUCGCGUUGAUUACGUCCCUGCCCUUUGUACACACCGC